GCACUCAUCUUUUCCUCCUUUCCUCUCAGCCAAAGUCUAUCAUUUCAGCGAGUUCAAAAAUUCUUGUAAUUUUUCUGCUGAGUCAAAGUUGUUGACAGUUCCCCAUAAUUGAAACGUAGUACUGCCAGGUACAUCAGAGAAUAUUGAAUGUUUAAACCUCUUCAUUUUUUUCUUUAAAUCAUCAAAGAUCUUUCUUGUCUUAAUAAUGGCCCCAGAAUAGUCAUGAAGAAACACUAUCUUCGAACCUUUAUAAGCCAAAGCCUGUGGAUCUUCUCCCAGUCUUCUGGCUGUUUCUAUUAUUAAUUGCUUUUCUUUGUAAUAUUGGAGUCGCACUAGGACCGGGAGGAGGCGCUGGGCCGACCCGGACCUGAUCAUUGCGAUCCAGUAAGCCUGCUCCACACUCACCCAGCCCAACACAACCUCCAGCCCCAGCAACUCUGGAAGCCACCUCUUCAGAAAAGUUGCAAGAUUUUCACCUUCUUCACGCUCCGCUCCAGGAUGGCUCUCCAGGAGUUCCCCAGGGUCGUGUCCUGGUGUCCAACCAUCUUCAGCUGCUCCAUCAAUGAUCUUCCCUCCAUCAUAAAGUCAGAAGGUGGUGCAGUGCCACACCGCCCUGU